GGUGUCAGUGGUAGGAGAGCGUUCUAAGGACAGUGAAGUCAGACCGUAAGGACUGGUGGAGUGCUUAGAAGUGAGAAUGCCGGUAUGAGUAGCGAAAGAUGGGUGAGAAUCCCAUCCACCGAAUGCCUAAGGUUUCCUGAGGAAGGCUCGUCCGCUCAGGGUUAGUCGGGACCUAAGUCGAGGCCGAUAGGCGUAGACGAUGGACAACAGGUUGAUAUUCCUGUACCACCUCUUUUCCGUUUGAGCAAUGGGGGGACGCAGGAGGAUAGGGUAAGCGCACUGCUGGAUAUGUGCGUCUAAGCAGUUAGGCUGAUGAUGAGGAAAAUCCCGUCAUCGUGAAGGCUGAGCUGUGACAGCGAGCGAAUUAUAGUAGCGAAGUUCCUGAUUCCACACUGCCAAGAAAAGCCUCUAGCGAGGAAAAAGGUGCCCGUACCGCAAACCGACACAGGUAGGCGAGGAGAGAAUCCUAAGGUGAGCGAGAGAACUCUCGUUAAGGAACUCGGCAAAAUGACCCCGUAACUUCGGGAGAAGGGGUGCUCUUUGGGGUGCAUAGCCUCGAAGAGCCGCAGUGAAUAGGCCCAGGCGACUGUUUAGCAAAAACACAGGUCUCUGCGAAGCCGUAAGGCGAAGUAUAGGGGCUGACGCCUGCCCGGUGCUGGAAGGUUAAGAGGAGUGCUUAGCGCAAGCGAAGGUGCGAAUCGAAGCCCCAGUAAACGGCGGCCGUAACUAUAACGGUCCUAAGGUAGCGAAAUUCCUUGUCGGGUAAGUUCCGACCCGCACGAAAGGCGUAACGAUCUGGGCACUGUCUCAACGAGAGACUCGGUGAAAUUAUAGUACCUGUGAAGAUGCAGGUUACCCGCGACAGGACGGAAAGACCCCGUGGAGCUUUACUGUAGCCUGAUAUUGAAUUUUGGUACAGCUUGUACAGGAUAGGUAGGAGCCUUGGAAACCGGAGCGCCAGCUUCGGUGGAGGCGUUGGUGGGAUACUACCCUGGCUGUAUUGAAAUUCUAACCCGCGCCCCUUAUCGGGGUGGGAGACAGUGUCAGGUGGGCAGUUUGACUGGGGCGGUCGCCUCCUAAAGAGUAACGGAGGCGCCCAAAGGUUCCCUCAGAAUGGUUGGAAAUCAUUCGCAGAGUGUAAAGGCACAAGGGAGCUUGACUGCGAGACCUACAAGUCGAGCAGGGACGAAAGUCGGGCUUAGUGAUCCGGUGGUUCCGCAUGGAAGGGCCAUCGCUCAACGGAUAAAAGCUACCCCGGGGAUAACAGGCUUAUCUCCCCCAAGAGUCCACAUCGACGGGGAGGUUUGGCACCUCGAUGUCGGCUCAUCGCAUCCUGGGGCUGUAGUCGGUCCCAAGGGUUGGGCUGUUCGCCCAUUAAAGCGGUACGCGAGCUGGGUUCAGAACGUCGUGAGACAGUUCGGUCCCUAUCCGUCGUGGGCGCAGGAAAUUUGAGAGGAGCUGUCCUUAGUACGAGAGGACCGGGAUGGACGCACCGCUGGUGUACCAGUUGUCUUGCCAAAGGCAUCGCUGGGUAGCUAUGUGCGGAAGGGAUAAGUGCUGAAAGCAUCUAAGCAUGAAGCCCCCCUCGAGAUGAGAUUUCCCAUCACUUUAUGUGAGUAAGAUCCCUGGAAGAUGACCAGGUAGAUAGGUCAGAGGUGGAAGCAUGGCGACAUGUGGAGCUGACUGAUACUAAUCGAUCG
rnacentral:rRNA from 1 species